AGCAUUGUUAUCAGCGUCGUUGGAAUUGAUCGCGGUUUCCUUGAGAUCUGCAUCGUUAACUGGUGGAUCGGAUCCUGAUCCAGAUUCCGGUUCCAAUUGUGAUUGUGCUUGUUCUAUUGCCACUGGUUCAGGUUCUGGUUCUGGUUCUAGUUCUGGUUCUGGUUGAGGAUCAGGUUCGUGUUUAGGUUCGGAUUCGGGAGUUGGUUGGAGUUCGUUAUGAGAUUCUGGUUCGGACAUUGUUGAGUGUGGUUUUAGAUGGAACGGAAGAGAGAAUUGAGGAGAGGUGAGAUUUUCGAUGGGAUCAAACACAGACGAUG
rnacentral:lncRNA from 1 species